rnacentral:rRNA from 1 species
AGCGAACGCUGGCGGCAGGCCUAACACAUGCAAGUCGAACGAACUCUUCGGAGUUAGUGGCGGACGGGUGAGUAACACGUGGGAACGUGCCUUUUGGUUCGGAAUAACUCAGGGAAACUUGUGCUAAUACCGAAUGUGCCCUUCGGGGGAAAGAUUUAUCGCCAUUAGAGCGGCCCGCGUCUGAUUAGCUAGUUGGUGAGGUAACGGCUCACCAAGGCGACGAUCAGUAGCUGGUCUGAGAGGAUGACCAGCCACACUGGGACUGAGACACGGCCCAGACUCCUACGGGAGGCAGCAGUGUGGAAUCUUGCGCAAUGGGCGAAAGCCUGACGCAGCCAUGCCGCGUGAAUGAUGAAGGUCUUAGGAUUGUAAAAUUCUUUCACCGGGGACGAUAAUGACGGUACCCGGAGAAGAAGCCCCGGCUAACUUCGUG